CGGGGCGUGGCGCAGCCUGGUAGCGCACUUGCAUGGGGUGCAAGGGGUCGGAGGUUCGAAUCCUCUCGCCCCGACCA
rnacentral:tRNA from 3 species